rnacentral:rRNA from 1 species
GACGAACGCUGGCGGCGUGCCUAAUACAUGCAAGUCGAACGAACUCUGGUGUUGAUUGGUGCUUGCAUCAUGAUUUACAUUUGAGUGAGUGGCGAACUGGUGAGUAACACGUGGGAAACCUGCCCAGAAGCGGGGGAUAACACCUGGAAACAGAUGCUAAUACCGCAUAACAACUUGGACCGCAUGGUCCGAGCUUGAAAGAUGGCUUCGGCUAUCACUUUUGGAUGGUCCCGCGGCGUAUUAGCUAGAUGGUGGGGUAACGGCUCACCAUGGCAAUGAUACGUAGCCGACCUGAGAGGGUAAUCGGCCACAUUGGGACUGAGACACGGCCCAAACUCCUACGGGAGGCAGCAGUAGGGAAUCUUCCACAAUGGACGAAAGUCUGAUGGAGCAACGCCGCGUGAGUGAAGAAGGGUUUCGGCUCGUAAAACUCUGUUGUUAAAGAAGAACAUAUCUGAGAGUAACUGUUCAGGUAUUGACGGUAUUUAACCAGAAAGCCACGGCUAACUACGUGCCAGCAGCCGCGGUAAUACGUAGGUGGCAAGCGUUGUCCGGAUUUAUUGGGCGUAAAGCGAGCGCAGGCGGUUUUUUAAGUCUGAUGUGAAAGCCUUCGGCUCAACCGAAGAAGUGCAUCGGAAACUGGGAAACUUGAGUGCAGAAGAGGACAGUGGAACUCCAUGUGUAGCGGUGAAAUGCGUAGAUAUAUGGAAGAACACCAGUGGCGAAGGCGGCUGUCUGGUCUGUAACUGACGCUGAGGCUCGAAAGUAUGGGUAGCAAACAGGAUUAGAUACCCUGGUAGUCCAUACCGUAAACGAUGAAUGCUAAGUGUUGGAGGGUUUCCGCCCUUCAGUGCUGCAGCUAACGCAUUAAGCAUUCCGCCUGGGGAGUACGGCCGCAAGGCUGAAACUCAAAGGAAUUGACGGGGGCCCGCACAAGCGGUGGAGCAUGUGGUUUAAUUCGAAGCUACGCGAAGAACCUUACCAGGUCUUGACAUACUAUGCAAAUCUAAGAGAUUAGACGUUCCCUUCGGGGACAUGGAUACAGGUGGUGCAUGGUUGUCGUCAGCUCGUGUCGUGAGAUGUUGGGUUAAGUCCCGCAACGAGCGCAACCCUUAUUAUCAGUUGCCAGCAUUAAGUUGGGCACUCUGGUGAGACUGCCGGUGACAAACCGGAGGAAGGUGGGGAUGACGUCAAAUCACCAUGCCCCUUAUGACCUGGGCUACACACGUGCUACAAUGGAUGGUACAACGAGUUGCGAACUCGCGAGAGUAAGCUAAUCUCUUAAAGCCAUUCUCAGUUCGGAUUGUAGGCUGCAACUCGCCUACAUGAAGUCGGAAUCGCUAGUAAUCGCGGAUCAGCAUGCCGCGGUGAAUACGUUCCCGGGCCUUGUACACACCGCCCGUCACACCAUGAGAGUUUGUAACACCCAAAGUCGGUGGGGUAACCUUUUAGGAACCAGCCGCCUAAGGUGGGACAGAUGAUUAGGGUGAAG